UCUGGGCACAGUGGUGCAUGCCUGUAAUCCCAGCAACAUGGGAGGCUGAGGCAGGAGGAUUGCUAGUUUGAGUUUAGCCUCAGUAACUUAGGCCUUAAGCAACUUAGUGAGACCCUGCUUCAA
rnacentral:sRNA from 1 species